AUUAUAAAUUCUUGUUUCACAAUCUACCAGUGCCGAAUCGAAAAAAAGGUCAAGGGUAGAAAGAAGAACAUUGCCCCUGAAAAAAUAACUGUAAAUUCUCACUACCAUGUAACGAUGUAAGCCCUUCAUUUAUACCUAUCUCAAAUUUGGGCGAAAUAUCUCAAAAACUGCAAGGGAUAUCAAGAAAAAACUUGAAAUUUUAACACCAUAUAGAUCAGUAACGAAGCGUUUGUAGAUCUAUGUUUGUAUGAACUUUUGGACAUAACAUAAGCCAAAGAAUUAGCCCUUUCCGUAUUUACAUCAUAUUUAGGAACACCCUGUAUAUUCUGUGGUUUUGUUCCUCGUGCUGUCAACUGUCAAAUUUCAGUAGUCAAAAGUUUAGUAUUGAGAGCACCCCUAUUUUGUGUACAUUUUUAUUAAAAAUAAAUUAUUAAAUAAUUAUGUUUAAAAAUGCGUAGAUUCAUUGUAUAUAACGAAAACUACAUCACAACGGACGCUGUUGAUCAUACCUAGUCACAUAAACCUCCAAUACUUAUAAUUAUAGAAUAAAUAAAUUCAAGGUAGAUUAUCCUAAUUAUACAAAUUGAAUGUUUCCAAUACUGUACCAUUUAUGACAACAGACUGUAAGUACCAACCUGUGGCUCUAGAUUCGUCUCGUUCAGAAGAUACGUUACCUGGAGAUAUGGCUUUGGACUCGUCUAAACACACUACACGUAAAUGGGAGAUAUUCGCAGGCCGAAAUCGAUUUUAUUGCAAUGGUAGAUUAAUGACGGCCCCGCACUGUGGUGUAUUUAUACUUACUAUUUGUCUCAUUACGGGAACUAGCUUACUAUUUUUUACAUUCGAUUGCCGAUAUUUAGCUGAAAAUGUCACGGUGGCGAUACCGAUAAUCGGCGUCGUCCUAUUCCUAUUCACGAUGAGCGCUCUAUUACGGACGGCUCUCUCAGAUCCGGGCAUUAUACCUAGGGCUACGCCCGAAGAGGCCGCGUACGUCGAGAAACAAAUAGAUUAUUAUUUAGAAGUGACUAAUUCAGCCAACAGUCCGACAUAUAGACCGCCUCCACGUACGAAAGAAGUCCUAAUUAAAGGUCAGACGGUCAAAUUAAAAUAUUGCUUCACGUGUAAAAUAUUUCGACCUCCCAGAGCGUCGCAUUGUAGUUUGUGUGAUAAUUGUGUGGACCGUUUCGAUCAUCACUGUCCGUGGGUGGGUAAUUGCGUCGGACGACGGAAUUAUAGGUUUUUUUAUAUGUUCAUAGUGUCAUUGGCCUUUUUAGCAGUCUUCAUUUUUGCGUGUGCCGUCGCACAUAUCAUACUCAUAACAAGAGAAGAUCGUCAAUUUCUGGACGCAGUAAAAGACUCGCCGGCUAGCGUAAUCGUAGCUGUAAUAUGUUUCUUCAGUGUGUGGAGUAUUUUAGGUCUAGCAGGUUUUCAUACGUAUCUCACAACUAGCAACCAAACCACAAACGAAGAUAUUAAAGGUUCCUUUACAAGUAAGCGCGGUCAGGAAAGCUUUAAUCCGUAUUCUCAGGGAAAUGUGUGUUUAAAUUGUUUUCAUAUACUCUGCGGACCUUUCACUCCGUCAUUAAUUGAUAGGAGAGGAGUUGUCACAGAUGAAUAUAGAUUAGAGUUAAGCAACGCGGUAAUUACUACAGAUCCAGCCUUAUUAAAGUCGUAUGGAACUAACUUACAGCAAAAUGGUCAAGCUCAAAUGAACGCCUCAACUGAAGUUCCAGUGCUAUAUCGACAGACCGUAGAAAAUCUAGGUACGUACCGUCCACUUCAAAAGCCAGUAUAUCGUACACAUUACAUUGUACCGUCCACGAAUUGUGCCACAAAAAAGAUCACUCCAACGCAAUCCCACUUACUUCCUUACGAAUUACCGUCAGACGCCGGUAAUAGUUUAAUAAAAAGCAGCUCCUCUCUGCCGCGCUUAAAAAAUUACGCCAUCUACGACAGUUCCCGCGAGAACUUGUACAAAAACUCGGACUCUUCCUCGAGUAGUCCGUUGCGAUUCGACCAGCCGACUACGGGACCGCGCACGCCUCCAGAAAAGCGUUACAGUGCGAAUUUCGGCGUGCGAGCGCCGGAACGUAAAAACAGAAAACCGAGACCGAACAGUUACGUUUACGAAAAUUUACACGCCGCACAAGACGACCUAUGUUCGAAUAAUGAGUGUAACAUGAGCAAGGUUAAGGUCGACAAAAAUGUUAAUUUUACUAAUAUUAAAGUCGACAAUUUUCCAACUCCCGCUUUUAGUCCGCUUUAUAUUCAGGAAAAUUGUGAUUAAUGUGGUACAAAACUGAGAUCCAACAAAAUUAUGUUCUGGAUCAGAUGCCUUGUGGUACAUUGUAGGGAAUGAAGUGUGGCAAUGGCAAAGUUCUAUUUUUUCGCUAAAAACAUGAAUACUGAACCAAUUGUUUAUUUAUUGAGGGAUUUUUCUAAAUAGUAGGCCUUCUAAUAGAAGCAAAUAAAGCUAUCUCCAAUAACCAGCAAAAACUGACGUUGAAAUUCCCAUCAGCAAAUUAUUAUACAUGCAUAAAAUGUGAUCCAAAUAGGAAUUAUGCACAAAUAGAAGAGGAUGUGAGAGUAAAUUUCAAGAGAAUAGUCCUCCUGCGAGAGUAUCUAGACAUUUUGGUGGUAAGAAAAGACAGUAAACCGGAAUUCGUAAAUAAGAAAUAAAUGUUUAGUUUAGUUUUUAAAAAACUGUGACGUACAACCAAUUGGUGCAGUUUUAGAAGAGAUUAGAUGAUCUCAUUUGUAUCUUAACAAUUUAUUGUAUUUAUUUUUCAUUCAUCAUGACAGCAGUUCUAAUAGAAGGCAAGUGUCAAAAAGUGUGUGCAUGUAGGUAUUUUGCAACCCUCCCUGUACUGUUGCUGUCUUUUUAAUCAUUUCCAUUGAAUUUAAAGCGAUUGGAAUAAUCCAUCCCACUUUAUCGGAAUUAAACGGAUGGCAAUAUCUGACCCAGUUCAUAAACUAAUCUGAUAAGUAACUUUUUCAAAAAAUCUAAUUUCGUGACCUUAAUGAUUUGAUUAAUGCUAACCAUAAAUGAUAAAAAUCGAAUAUUUUUCAUGUAUUAUUACAGAUAUACACAAACAACAGAACCUAAACCUUGUGCAUUUCAUGAGUAACACAUUUGGGUAUAUGAGUACAGUGGCUUUAUACUAACAGUGUGGCCAUACGGUGGUCAAAUGGUCUAUUGGCUGCGCCAUGUCUUCUCCAGAUUCUACUUAAAUCGUUUUUAUUUUUUUUUAUUUGCGACAUUUUCAACUAACUACAUGCGAAAUAAGUCAUGAGUCACUAGUAGACAGGUGACACUUUCAGACCCAAAGGACCAAUCUUCAAACUACAAGUAUGCUUGCAAAACAAUAAUGCGCAUAACAAAUUCGGUAAUAAAGAAGCAUCUUAUCUAUGAAAUUUUUAAACCUGAAUAAUUAAACAAUGGAAAUUUUACCUCUUCAGGAUCGAAUUUGUUUUUCUAAUUAAAUUGGUGCACACCUAGCGGUUUUGGUUAAAAUUCAAAUCCAUGAAGUGCGAAAUAGAACUAAUGCGUUUGCUCAUUUUCGCUAUCCAAGAACUAUUUUGCUAACCAAAAUUUGAUCUGCAAAAUACAUUGUGAAUUUUAGAUUCCGGUUUCUGUAUUUCAGUGUAAGUGCAAUGAUAAAUUUUACAUCUGUGCUAUUAGCAAACAUGAAUUUUCUACAAUACAAUAUAGGAUACAAACAGGAAAUAACAACAAAUGAAAGAUUUAAAAUGAUUAUAGAUGAGUAAAACGAUAACUGUCUGAAAACCUGGGCAGAGACAUUAGCACAGAACAUGUAAUUCAAGCUUGUGUAAUGCAGGCACCGAGGCAAAUUUAUUCAACAAUGCAUGCUACACUUCAUUACUAUUAGUUGUUUAUUUAUUUAAAUUUUGUUUAUUGCUGUCAUGUUACACUUGUUAACUAUGUCUACUGCUGCCAUACAGAUUAAGAUUUUCUCUAGUGUUUGCGUGAUUUUCUAUUAUAGUUUUUUAAGUUACUGUAUUAAUUUAUAUGCAUUUAAUUAGUUACGUAGUUGUAUUGCGUGCGUACAUAUGUUUUAUUUCUACUUACAUUGCAUUUCGUUGAGGGAGAUUAUUCGAGUGUUUUGUGGAUAGUAACGCGGGUAGCAUUACGAAACUGGUAAGCAACGAAGUACCGCUCGCAGUCGUGAAUAAAAACGAAACGCCCCACUACUCGUCUCAACCUAACCUCAAUCACUCUCACGUGUACAGCAACAUAUCCUCAUCG